AACGAACGCUGGCGGCAGGCUUAACACAUGCAAGUCGAGCGCCCCGCAAGGGGAGCGGCAGACGGGUGAGUAACGCGUGGGAAUCUACCCAUCUCUACGGAAUAACGCAUGGAAACGUGUGCUAAUACCGUAUACGUCCUUCGGGAGAAAGAUUUAUCGGAGAUGGAUGAGCCCGCGUUGGAUUAGCUAGUUGGUGGGGUAAAGGCCUACCAAGGCGACGAUCCAUAGCUGGUCUGAGAGGAUGAUCAGCCACACUGGGACUGAGACACGGCCCAGACUCCUACGGGAGGCAGCAGUGGGGAAUAUUGGACAAUGGGCGCAAGCCUGAUCCAGCCAUGCCGCGUGAGUGAUGAAGGCCCCAGGGUUGUAAAGCUCUUUCACCGGUGAAGAUAAUGACGGUAUCCGGAGAAGAAGCCCCGGCUAACUUCGUGCCAGCCGCCGCAGUAAUAC
rnacentral:rRNA from 1 species